rnacentral:rRNA from 1 species
GGGUUGUGAGGUUAAGCGACUAAGCGUACACGGUGGAUGCCCUGGCAGUCAGAGGCGAUGAAGGACGUGCUAAUCUGCGAUAAGCGUCGGUAAGGUGAUAUGAACCGUUAUAACCGGCGAUUUCCGAAUGGGGAAACCCAGUGUGUUUCGACACACUAUCAUUAACUGAAUCCAUAGGUUAAUGAGGCGAACCGGGGGAACUGAAACAUCUAAGUACCCCGAGGAAAAGAAAUCAACCGAGAUUCCCCCAGUAGCGGCGAGCGAACGGGGAGCAGCCCAGAGCCUGAAUCAGUGUGUGUGUUAGUGGAAGCGUCUGGAAAGGCGCGCGAUACAGGGUGACAGCCCCGUACACAAAAAUGCACAUGCUGUGAGCUCGAUGAGUAGGGCGGGACACGUGGUAUCCUGUCUGAAUAUGGGGGGACCAUCCUCCAAGGCUAAAUACUCCUGACUGACCGAUAGUGAACCAGUACCGUGAGGGAAAGGCGAAAAGAACCCCGGCGAGGGGAGUGAAAAAGAACCUGAAACCGUGUACGUACAAGCAGUGGGAGCACGCUUAGGCGUGUGACUGCGUACCUUUUGUAUAAUGGGUCAGCGACUUAUAUUCUGUAGCAAGGUUAACCGAAUAGGGGAGCCGAAGGGAAACCGAGUCUUAACUGGGCGUUAAGUUGCAGGGUAUAGACCCGAAACCCGGUGAUCUAGCCAUGGGCAGGUUGAAGGUUGGGUAACACUAACUGGAGGACCGAACCGACUAAUGUUGAAAAAUUAGCGGAUGACUUGUGGCUGGGGGUGAAAGGCCAAUCAAACCGGGAGAUAGCUGGUUCUCCCCGAAAGCUAUUUAGGUAGCGCCUCGUGAAUUCAUCUCCGGGGGUAGAGCACUGUUUCGGCAAGGGGGUCAUCCCGACUUACCAACCCGAUGCAAACUGCGAAUACCGGAGAAUGUUAUCACGGGAGACACACGGCGGGUGCUAACGUCCGUCGUGAAGAGGGAAACAACCCAGACCGCCAGCUAAGGUCCCAAAGUCAUGGUUAAGUGGGAAACGAUGUGGGAAGGCCCAGACAGCCAGGAUGUUGGCUUAGAAGCAGCCAUCAUUUAAAGAAAGCGUAAUAGCUCACUGGUCGAGUCGGCCUGCGCGGAAGAUGUAACGGGGCUAAACCAUGCACCGAAGCUGCGGCAGCGACGCUUAUGCGUUGUUGGGUAGGGGAGCGUUCUGUAAGCCUGUGAAGGUGUGCUGUGAGGCAUGCUGGAGGUAUCAGAAGUGCGAAUGCUGACAUAAGUAACGAUAAAGCGGGUGAAAAGCCCGCUCGCCGGAAGACCAAGGGUUCCUGUCCAACGUUAAUCGGGGCAGGGUGAGUCGACCCCUAAGGCGAGGCCGAAAGGCGUAGUCGAUGGGAAACAGGUUAAUAUUCCUGUACUUGGUGUUACUGCGAAGGGGGGACGGAGAAGGCUAUGUUGGCCGGGCGACGGUUGUCCCGGUUUAAGCGUGUAGGCUGGUUUUCCAGGCAAAUCCGGAAAAUCAAGGCUGAGGCGUGAUGACGAGGCACUACGGUGCUGAAGCAACAAAUGCCCUGCUUCCAGGAAAAGCCUCUAAGCAUCAGGUAACAUCAAAUCGUACCCCAAACCGACACAGGUGGUCAGGUAGAGAAUACCAAGGCGCUUGAGAGAACUCGGGUGAAGGAACUAGGCAAAAUGGUGCCGUAACUUCGGGAGAAGGCACGCUGAUAUGUAGGUGAAGUCCCUUGCGGAUGGAGCUGAAAUCAGUCGAAGAUACCAGCUGGCUGCAACUGUUUAUUAAAAACACAGCACUGUGCAAACACGAAAGUGGACGUAUACGGUGUGACGCCUGCCCGGUGCCGGAAGGUUAAUUGAUGGGGUUAGCGGUAACGCGAAGCUCUUGAUCGAAGCCCCGGUAAACGGCGGCCGUAACUAUAACGGUCCUAAGGUAGCGAAAUUCCUUGUCGGGUAAGUUCCGACCUGCACGAAUGGCGUAAUGAUGGCCAGGCUGUCUCCACCCGAGACUCAGUGAAAUUGAACUCGCUGUGAAGAUGCAGUGUACCCGCGGCAAGACGGAAAGACCCCGUGAACCUUUACUAUAGCUUGACACUGAACAUUGAGCCUUGAUGUGUAGGAUAGGUGGGAGGCUUUGAAGUGUGGACGCCAGUCUGCAUGGAGCCGACCUUGAAAUACCACCCUUUAAUGUUUGAUGUUCUAACGUUGACCCGUAAUCCGGGUUGCGGACAGUGUCUGGUGGGUAGUUUGACUGGGGCGGUCUCCUCCUAAAGAGUAACGGAGGAGCACGAAGGUUGGCUAAUCCUGGUCGGACAUCAGGAGGUUAGUGCAAUGGCAUAAGCCAGCUUGACUGCGAGCGUGACGGCGCGAGCAGGUGCGAAAGCAGGUCAUAGUGAUCCGGUGGUUCUGAAUGGAAGGGCCAUCGCUCAACGGAUAAAAGGUACUCCGGGGAUAACAGGCUGAUACCGCCCAAGAGUUCAUAUCGACGGCGGUGUUUGGCACCUCGAUGUCGGCUCAUCACAUCCUGGGGCUGAAGUAGGUCCCAAGGGUAUGGCUGUUCGCCAUUUAAAGUGGUACGCGAGCUGGGUUUAGAACGUCGUGAGACAGUUCGGUCCCUAUCUGCCGUGGGCGCUGGAGAAUUGAGGGGGGCUGCUCCUAGUACGAGAGGACCGGAGUGGACGCAUCACUGGUGUUCGGGUUGUCAUGCCAAUGGCACUGCCCGGUAGCUAAAUGCGGAAGAGAUAAGUGCUGAAAGCAUCUAAGCACGAAACUUGCCCCGAGAUGAGUUCUCCCUGACUCCUUGAGAGUCCUGAAGGAACGUUGAAGACGACGACGUUGAUAGGCCGGGUGUGUAAGCGCAGCGAUGCGUUGAGCUAACCGGUACUAAUGAACCGUGAGGCUUAACCUUACAACGCCGAAG